rnacentral:rRNA from 1 species
UAAUACGUAGGGUGCGAGCGUUAAUCGGAAUUACUGGGCGUAAAGCGUGCGCAGGCGGCUAUUUAAGCUUGCUGUGAAAGCCCCGGGCUUAACCUGGGAAUGGCAGUGAGGACUGGAUGGCUGGAGUGUGGCAGAGGGGGGUGGAAUUCCACGUGUAGCAGUGAAAUGCGUAGAGAUGUGGAGGAACACCGAUGGCGAAGGCAGCCCCCUGGGCUAACACUGACGCUCAGGCACGAAAGCGUGGGGAGCAAACAGGAUUAGAUACCCUGGUAGUCCACGCCCUAAACUAUGUCAACUAGGUGUUGGAGGAGCGAUCUUUCAGUACCGCAGCUAACGCGUGAAGUUGACCGCCUGGGGAGUACGGUCGCAAGAUUA